CCGAGGAGAGAAAGUCGCCGGCGUCUUGGGGGCUAAGAGGUGGCAGCCCCAUUUCCGGAGACGAAUUUAGACACCCAGUGUGACAGCUCCUGGGGACCCUGGAGGGCAGCUGAGUGAGCUGGUCCUUCUUCCUCAGGACAGGGUGAUGGAUGCAGGCGUGGCAGGUGGCUGCAUCCGCUUGGAGAAGAGAAUUUGUCUCGGUGGACGUGACACCGAGGAGAUGCUGGUCUGGGACGACGUGGGCACAGGAAACGUGACCCACGAGAUAGAGAGCCGCCCCCCAGCUGCGUGAGCACCUACCUCCUGCAUCGACCCUGUACUACCGAAGCCUGAGCAACUUUGAUCCCACACUGAGCCUGAGGCCGGCAGCAGCUGGACGGACGAGGACAUAUACUAUGGCUGCAAAUCUUCCGAUUUUGGGAAAGGCAGGCUCCUGAAUGUCUGAAGAUGUGACCUGAUGAGUUCUGGGUGACCGUGGGGAGCCCCUUCUCAGAGGCAGAUGAUCGGAGGUCUCCAGGAUGGUGAGCUCUGCAGCUGUCCAGAUGUUUGAGGGCGGAUUCCUGCCCAGGAACCAGAGACGGUCAGCACCCAGAGGGCGGGCUUCUGCGAGGUUUGGGGCAGGUGGCAGAUGUGGAAAAAGGCAGCGACAGGAGAAAGUCCUCUCACACAGGGUUAUGCACAUGGCACGGAGGUGGUGGUGUUUCCUGCACGGCCAUGUGUGUGCCUGUGCGCA